CCAAUGUUUAUUGGAUACUCUCAAUAUCAAUUCUUGGGGAGAAUAGUAGGUUAUUUUCUUAUUUGACUGAACCUCUAUACAUCGUGGUGUUCAUAUCUUUCCCUUAACUAUUUAUUUUUCUGCUAUUUAUUUUCUACAAAUUAUUUUUCCCAUUGCUGAUUAUUUAAAACAUUUUUAAACUCUGAUUUUACUUCCUACAGUUUUUCAAAAUCACUUUUUUUCUGAACCACAAAAUUCAC
rnacentral:lncRNA from 1 species